rnacentral:rRNA from 1 species
CCUACGGGAGGCAGCAGUGGGGAAUAUUGCACAAUGGGGGAAACCCUGAUGCAGCAACGCCGCGUGAGUGAAGAAGUCUUUCGGUAUGUAAAGCUCUAUCAGCAGGGAAGAAGAUGACGGUACCUGAAUACUAAGCCCCGGCUAAAUACGGGACAGCAGCCGCGGUAAUACGUAGGGGGCAGGCGUUAUCCGGAUUUACUGGGUGUAAAGUGAGCGCAGACGGCAGGGCAAGUCUGGUGUGAAAGCCCGGGGCCCAACCCCGGAACUGCUCUGGAAACUGUGAGGCUAGAGUACUGGAGGGGCGGGCGGAAUUCCUAGUGUAGCGGUGAAAUGCGUAGAGAUUAGGAGGAACACCAGUGGCGAAGGCGGCCUGCUGGACAGUAACUGACGUUGAGGCUCGAAAGCGUGGGGAGCAAACAGGAUUAGAUACCCCUGUAGUC